rnacentral:misc_RNA from 1 species
GAGUAAGAAGAGAGAGGCGCAGAAGAAGGCAGCAGCAGCUGCGAAGAGAGGAGGGAAGUCUAAGGCGGCGGUGAUGAAGGCGGCAGCGGCUGCAACAUCUACUCCGUCGGAGAGUAACGGUGUCGAUGAAUUGACGAAUGGUGUAGGAGAAAUUCAGUUGUCUGAUCGGACCUGUACCGGCGUUUUAUGUUCACAUCCACUUUCCAGGGAUAUUCGGAUAGAAUCGUUAUCACUUACUUUUCAUGGACAUGAUCUUAUAGUUGAUUCUGAACUGGAGCUUAACUACGGAAGACGUUAUGGUUUGCUUGGGCUUAAUGGCUGUGGGAAGUCUACUCUUCUUUCUGCUAUAGGAUGUCGUGAACUUCCCAUCCCAGAUCAUAUGGAUAUCUUUCAUCUAACGCGGGAGAUUGAAGCGUCUGACAUGUCCUCACUUCAAGCUGUUAUUAGUUGCGAUGAAGAGAGGUUGAGAUUGGAGAAAGAAGUUGAAGUCUUGGCUGCACAGGAUGAUGGUGGUGGAGAGCAACUUGAA